UGUACAUCUAACAUAUAACCAAAAAAUACGUCCGCGUUGGUACUUCAUCCAAAAAUGUACCUGUUAAAAGUUUAAACUUUAUACUUUCAAUAACCAAUAAGAUGCUUAUUGGUUAAUAAAAGUAAUAAUUUUAGUAAAUUAUUAUGUUUCAACACCGUGACAGUCGUCUGUAACUUUUGUGUGUUUGUGCUGUAAAUAGAUUUCAGUGAUGUAUAACAUAAAAGUGUAUUUAUUAAUUGCGGCGAUUUUUAUUUUUUGGAUCGCGUACAGAAUUGCACGUAGAUUACGUAUUCCGAGGCCACGAAUUCGUGCAAAUGAUCUACAAAUAAUAUUUCGGACUUUGCUGCAAUAUCCAACUGGAGAUGGUGCCCAACAACGAUAAGGAUAAUUUGACCCACCCAUCGAGUUAGUUUUUCAAGUUAUUAUGCAGUUGUGUGCGUUCUGUGGUUAAUAUAAGUAUAAAUACAUUAAUUAAUGUAUUUUGCUUUAUAGUUAACCACAUUUUAAAUAAAUAAAUGAACAUAUUAUCAUCAAAAUUCAAUCUAAAAUUUUGUAUAAUUUCUAAUGUAUUCAUUUUUGUUCUUUGUCAGUGUUAAUAAAUAUGUUUGUACAUUUUAAAACUUAGGGGUGGUAUAAACAAAUUGCAAGACAGUCGUUCAAAGUGAACCGAACUCAAAUCAGAUAACCUAACCUCAAUCUCAGUUAGUAUUGUUUGUUACUUUUACUAUCUUUUAAAAAUUGUCUAUAUAAAUAAAUUAUUAACAGACUAUAACGAU